rnacentral:hammerhead_ribozyme from 1 species
AUCCAGCUGACGAGUCCCACAUAGGACGAAAUUCGCGUCGUGUAU